GAGCAGCGGGAGUGGCCACGCCCGCUACCUGACGUCACGGUAACCGAGCGCAGGCCGUUCUUGUGGGUCACAUGACAGCCUUCCCGACUGAGCUGCCACACACCCGAUAGCCAUGCCGGCCACACAGCAGUCACCCCAGGAUGAGCAGGAGAAGCUUCUGGAUGAAGCCGUGCAGGCUGUCAAGGUCCAGUCGUUCCAGAUGAAGCGAUGCCUGGACAAAAACAAGUUGAUGGAUGCUUUAAAGCAUGCCUCCAACAUGCUGGGUGAACUGAGGACCUCCAUGCUUUCUCCAAAGAGCUACUAUGAGCUCUAUAUGGCUAUCUCUGAUGAACUCCACUACUUAGAGGUUUAUCUGACUGAUGAGUUUGCCAAAGGACGGAAGGUGGCAGAUCUUUAUGAGCUGGUCCAGUAUGCAGGCAACAUCAUCCCCAGGCUGUAUCUGCUGAUUACAGUGGGUGUAGUGUAUGUUCGCUCCUUCCCGCAGUCCCGCAAGGACAUUCUGAAGGACCUAGUUGAGAUGUGCCGUGGUGUCCAGCACCCGCUCAGGGGCCUCUUCCUCAGAAAUUACUUGUUGCAGUGUACCCGAAACAUACUGCCGGAUGAUGGAGAGCAGCCAGAGGGAACAGAGGAGAUGACCGGCGAUAUCAAUGACUCCAUCGACUUUGUCCUUCUAAACUUUGCGGAGAUGAACAAGUUAUGGGUUCGAAUGCAGCAUCAGGGUCACAGCCGAGACCGAGAGAAGAGGGAAAAGGAGCGACAAGAACUUCGGAUUCUGGUGGGCACCAAUCUGGUUCGCCUCAGCCAACUGGAGGGUGUCAACGUGGACAAAUACAAACAGAUCGUUCUUCCUGGCGUGCUGGAACAGGUUGUGAACUGCAGAGACUCACUGGCUCAGGAGUAUCUCAUGGAGUGCAUCAUUCAGGUUUUCCCAGAUGAGUUUCACCUUCAAACCCUGAACCCUUUCCUGCGUUCCUGUGCUGAGCUCCAUCAACACGUCAAUGUCAAGAACAUCAUCAUCGCUCUCAUUGACAGACUCGCUCUGUUUGCUCAUCGAGAAGAUGGCCCGGGGAUCCCAGCUGAAAUCAAACUGUUUGACAUCUUCUCUCAGCAAGUGGCCACUGUCAUUCAGUCUCGCCAGGACAUGCCAUCAGAGGAUAUUGUAUCACUUCAGGUCUCUCUCAUCAAUUUGGCCAUGAAAUGCUACCCCGAACGUGUUGACUAUGUAGACAAGGUCCUGGAGAGUACUGUGGAGAUUUUCAACAAGCUCAACUUGGAACACAUAGCCACCAGCAGUGCAGUGUCAAAGGAACUCACCCGGCUGCUGAAGAUCCCAGUGGAUACCUACAACAAUGUCCUGAUGGUUUUGCAGCUCAAACACUUCCCACCACUCUUUGAAUACUUUGACUACGAGUCCCGCAAGAACAUGAGUUGCUACGUGCUGAGCAACACACUGGACUACAACACUACCAUUGUGGCACAGGAACAGGUGGAUGCUAUCUUGAACUUGGUAUCCACACUGAUACAGGACCAGCCAGACCAACCAGCUGAUGAUCCGGACCCAGAGGACUUUGCUGAGGAGCAGAGCCUCGUGGGUCGUUUCAUUCAUCUGCUCCAUUCUGAAGAUCCUGAUCAGCAGUAUCUUAUUCUUAAUACAGCCCGCAAACACUUUGGUGCUGGUGGAAACCAAAGGAUUCGUUACACAUUGCCUCCCCUGGUGUUUGCUGCCUACCAGCUAGCCUUUAGAUACAAGGAAAACUCUUCAGCGGAUGACAAAUGGGAGAAGAAGUGCCAGAAGAUCUUUUCUUUUGCCCACCAGACAAUCAGUGCCCUCAUUAAGGCCGAGCUUGCUGAGCUGCCUCUCCGACUGUUUUUGCAGGGGGCGCUGGCUGCAGGCGAGAUCGGCUUUGAGAACCACGAGACAGUAGCGUAUGAGUUCAUGUCACAGGCCUUCUCUCUCUAUGAGGAUGAGAUCAGUGACUCCAAAGCCCAGCUCGCAGCCAUCACACUGAUCAUUGGCACCUUCGAGCGAAUGCGAUGCUUCAGCGAGGAAAACCACGAGCCCCUGAGGACUCAGUGUGCGCUGGCUGCGUCCAAGCUGCUGAAGAAGCCUGACCAGUGCAGAGCUGUCAGCAUCUGUGCCCAUCUCUUUUGGUCAGGUCGCAGCACUGACAAAAAUGGUGAAGAGAUCCGUGAUGGUAAGCGGGUAAUGGAGUGUCUAAAGAAAGCCUUGAAGAUUGCCAACCAGUGCAUGGAUCCUUCACUGCAAGUCCAGCUUUUCAUUGAAAUCCUCAACAGAUACGUCUGCUUCUACGAGAGAGAAAAUGAUGCGGUGACAGUCCAGGUAUUAAACCAGCUGAUCCAAAAGAUCAGGGAAGACCUUCCCAACCUGGAAGCUAGUGAAGAGACGGAGCAGAUCAACAAACACUUCCACAAUACACUGGAGCAUCUUCGUCUGCAGAGGGAAUCCCCUGAAUCUGAGGGCCCUGCCUAUGAGGGCCUGGUCCUUUAAAACUAAUGUUGGCUUUGUGGCAAGUUUUAAACAGAUUGUGCCAAACCAAACUGAAGACCAGACGACCGAGCAGUCUUUGGCCCUCACACUUCAGCGUUACUUCUUUUUGUCAUUGUGUCUCUCUUUAGGCUCCUUAUUCUGUGUAUCAUUUGAAGUCAGGACUUCAUUACUGGACUGACCUGUUCAACACUCUGAGGACACAGCAAUUCCCCAGGAUUGUGUGCUGAUUACAGUGUACAAUGAUGCAGAUUUUGCAGUUGUUUUUCACAGCAUUUAGUGAUUUCUCUUUCUUGCCUAUUAAUGUUGAUUUGUUGGAGGCAGCAUUGACCUGUUACUUUUUGCUUUUAAAUGUGUUUAAAUGCACUUGUAAAUCAGAUAAAUAAAAAUACAGAUUAAAUAGAAA